GUGAAUCAUCAAAUUUUUGAACGCAAAUUGCACUCUCUUCGGAGAGUAAGCCUGUGUGAGGGUCAGCCUAAAAAAAAUCGACAUAGUUGCUGUGACGCGGUAACAUUAGUCGGCAAUUGGGUCAUCUUAAACCUUUGGGUUUAAGCAGCUUAAAAUCUGCUUUACGAUGCCAAGAACUUUACUAAGAUUUUAUUUUCUUAUACGUUUAAGGUAUAGAUCUUUAUAAGACGUGGCCGUUGCAUCGGAUCUCGACCAUAAAUAUAUCGUUAACUUAACUCAGAC
rnacentral:misc_RNA from 1 species